rnacentral:ncRNA from 1 species
CAAAAGCUUGGUCCUGGCUUUAUCAUCAGCUUUAGCCAAAUUUACACAUGCAAGUAUCAGCGCCCCUGUGAGAAUGCCCUACAGCUCCCUUUAUGGGAACAAGGAGCUGGUAUCAGGCACAUCCCGAAUUGCCCACGACACCUUGCUAUGCCACACCCUCAAGGGAACUCAGCAGUGACAAAUAUUAAGCCAUAAGUGAAAACUUGACUUAGUUAAGGCUAAAAGAGCCGGUUAAACUCGUGCCAGCCACCGCGGUUAUACGAGAGGCCCAAGUUGAUUAAUCCCGGCGUAAAGAGUGGUUAAGAUUUCUACUAAAUCUAAAGUCGAACGCCCUCAGAGCAGUUAUACGCAUCCGACGGUAAGAAGCCCAAUAACGAAAGUAACUUUAUUUUACCCGACCCCACGAAAGCUAAGGAACAAACUGGGAUUAGAUACCCCACUAUGCUUAGCCCUAAACAUUGGUGGCACACUACACCCGCCACCCGCCAGGGUACUACGAGCAUUAGCUUAAAACCCAAAGGACUUGGCGGUGCUUUAGACCCCCCUAGAGGAGCCUGUCGUAGAACCGAUAAUCCCCGUUAAACCUCACCUCUCCUUGUUUUACCCGCCUAUAUACCGCCGUCGUCAGCUUACCCUGUGAAGGUCUCAUAGUAAGCUUAAUUAGCACAGCCCAAUACGUCAGGUCGAGGUGUAGCGCAUGGAGAGGGAACAGAUGGGCUACAUUCCCUACAUUAGAGAAUACGAAUUGUUUACUGAAAUGUAUUCAUGAAGGAGGAUUUAGUAGUAAGCCGGAAAUAGAGUGUCCUGCUGGAAACCGGGCCCUAAAGCGUGCACACACCG